rnacentral:lncRNA from 1 species
GUCGGGGACGGGCGGGGGAUUGGUCUGGAUGGUGGCGCAGCCCACCCGGGAGCUGCUAGCUCUCAGCUCGGGGUCCGGACAGACUCCAGGUGGGGUGGUGGGGUACAGGGAUUCCGCCGUUUAGUUUGGAGGCGACAGAAGGCAAUCCUAUGAAGUCUACCUCUGUGAGAGCCUAGAUUUUUGCCUCUGAGAGAUUAUUUAUCCGUCCAUCCAUCCAUCCAUCCAUCCAUCCAUCCAUCCAUCCAUCCAUCCAUCCCUCCCUCCAUCCAUCCCUCCAUUUAUCUGUCCACUCGUCUCUUUUCUUGCUCUUACGACCACGUUUUGAUAGAGGCUUUGCAACUGAAAAUAAAUAAAUAAUAAAUAGAACAAAGCUCUAAAGAAAAGAAGAAAAAUUCCCAGUGCUAAAGACAUCACUGAACGAAUAUUUUUCUUUCUCUCUUUCUGCUCCCCCCUUCUAUCUACCCAUUGAUUGAAAGUCUCUCUCAGCUCCAACAAGGAGUCCCAGGAAAAAUGAACCAUUCUGCUAUCGAUUCUUCAUUAAAAUUACAUUUCUGCAUUUGCUAAAUUGGUUUUAAAAAGCUUCCCCUGUUAUUAUUGUCUUGUCAGAGCCGGCGGUGCUGGGCAAACAGUAUUUAAAAGCUUGGGACCUCUCCAAGAUGAGGCUGUUGGGGGUUAUGUGUGUGCAUGUGUUUCUUUUUCUAAAGUGUUUAGGAAAAUGUUAACAACGCAGACUGGUGAAAAGCACGCCCAAGACAAGUGGAGGAUUGUAAAAAUAAGGAAGGUGGAGGGAAUGCUUUCCUUCAUAUCACUUAAAAAUCAUCGAUUGCCUCUUCAAGCAAAGGGAAAAAAAAAGUUUCAUUUAAAAUAGUAAAAUGGGGCACCAAAAGUCAAUAAUUGCAGCAAGGAGUAUUUGCCUCAGACGCCGUCUCCAGCCCGGUGUGCAGCAGCCGCCGGAUCUGUCUGGAGUGGUUCCUCACCUCCCUGCAGCCCGAACUCAGCUCGCAGCCGCGCUGAAAUGCUUCCUCGCAAACUGGUGCCCCACGAAUGGUUAUAGCGUACCUGUUUGGCUCUACACCAUCUCUAUACACGUGAAUCUCUGCUCUUUACCCUGCCGACACGUUGGACGCCCACCCUCGCCUUUGCUCCCGAGGGGACGCCAAGCAUUAUCCAAACACCUUCCCCUUCUGUGGUGGGACCCCCGGCGUUUCUUCUCCUGCGAAAACCCUCGGCAGCAGCUCGGUGCGUUGCCUGCCCUGGACGCCUGUUCCUCCGUGGGCAGUAGCCGUGCGACUGUGACUACGGGAAAAGUGUUCUACGACACAUAUUUUAAUAUCAAUUUCCAUAUUAAUCAAUCACCUCAAACAUCUAUCUGCUGGAUAAAGGAAAUAGUUCGCAUUCCGA